rnacentral:rRNA from 1 species
CCUACGGGAGGCUGCAGUGAGGAAUAUUGGUCAAUGGGCGCGAGCCUGACCCAGCAACGCCGCGUGAGGGAAGAAGGCUUUCUGGUUGUAAACUUCUUUUAGGCGGGAAGCGCAAGAUACGAUACCUCUUGAAUCAGCCACGGCUAACUACGUGCCAUCAGCCCGGGUCAUACGUGGGUAGCCGGCGGUGUCCGGAUUUACUGGGUUUAACGGACUUAUCGCCGGGCAGACAAGUCAGAGGUGAAAUUCCGGGGGUCAACCCCAUACCGGCAGUUGAAACUUUUGGUCUUGAGUAUCGGAGAGGCAGGCGGAAUGCGUAGUGUAGCGGUGAAAUGCGUAGAUAUCAGGCGGAACACCAGUGGCGAAGGCGGCCUGCCGGCGGACAACUGACGGUGAGGCGCGAAAGUGUGGGGAGCAAACAGGAUUAGAUACCCGGGUAGUC